UUAACCCAUGACAAGUGUAUUUCAUGUUUGUGGCAGCUAUACUACUUGUCAACGUGUUUGUGAGGGAUCGAUAUAUGUAUAUUUGGACGUGCAACAGUGAGGAAAAGUUGAAAACUUAUCUCGUUCUUUUGGCCAAAAGCCUGGACGUGCAGCUGCAUCAGAAGAGUUGGAAACUCAUGUAUAUUUAGAGUAGAGUAUGAGAAUAGCCCAGGUGCAUCUCGGGCGGAGAAGCAAGGAAGACGAGCAAGCUCUGUAGCUGCCUGGCGGAAGCUUGGCUAGAGGGUCAGCAGAGCUGUGGCCAGCAGUUCAGCGGAUCUGUUGCUCAGCGGAGGCAGCUCGGCGGUGGUGCCCAGCGGAGGCAGCUUGGAGGCCCGUAGCGCCUGUUGCUGGUGCGCUGGCGCUGCUCUUGCUGCUGACUGAAGAUGACUAGCGACCUUAACGCAACGAUUGCACAUUGAUGUGCUGACGCUGAACGACGAAAGAGAGUUCGCUGGUGCCGCUGAUGGAGAUCAGCGGAGGAUUUUGCCGCUGAAUGUUAGGGCGGUUAGUGCAAGAUGUGUAGCGGAGUUUUUCGUCCAGCGGAGCGGAGCAUUUGGUUAGUGGCUCUCUUGGACAGCGGAGGAGCUUGAUCAGCGGAAGAACUUGAUCAAGAGCUUGAUCAGCGGAAUAAUUUUUUGCUAACGGUGGUCCGAGCCAACGGUGGUGGUCUGCUGAAGAAAAUUUUGUCAGCGGUAGUUUUGACCGGCGGAGAUGUUGUCCAGAGGAGGACGUCCAGCGGGGGUUGACCAUCGGACAAGGCUCGAAGUUGGCAGGCCGCUAAGAUUUUGAUUAUUGAUCGACGCUUGACGGGUCGCAAAGGGACCUUGCCUGAGGAGGUUUGCUUAGCUGUUGGCGGUGCGUCAAAGACUUUGGCGGUGUUGCUGCAUAGUGGUCGAUACUUUGGCGGUAAGUGCCGUUCAAACUUUGCCUUGCCGUAAAGCCUGGCGGAGGCUCAGUGUGGUGGAGACUUGGACAUGACCGUGAGCUCGGCGGAGGAAUUGCUAGCGGAAAAGCCCUGCUGGCGGAGGAUGGAACGAAGAAGAAGGAGGGUGGCCAAAGGAGAUCUCUGGGUGUCCAGAGAGAAUUGGCGCCAAUUUUUUUUUUUGUUGCCAGCGUUGACUAAGUGAAUAGUCAACGUUGACCAAAAAUUGGUCAAGCCUUGUUUGGCGUUGACCGAAUGUUGAUCGGCCCCAAUGGGCGUUUGACCAAAUGUUGAUCGGCCCCAAUGGGCGUUGACCAAGCAUUGACCGGCCCAAAUGGGUCAAAGUUCGUGGUAGGUGACGAAGCCUUUGUGUGUCGGCUUCCCACAGACGGCGCCAAUGGUGACGUUAGAGAUCCGAGGGGCCUCUAGUUAGCUUUAGAGAGAGAGAGAGAACGACACAAGAAGUAUAGUGGUUCAUUUCCCGCCUUAGCGGGAAACUACGUCCACUUGAAUGUUUAACUAGUGUGUUCGGGCCUUGCGGCCCAAAGGGAUUACAAAAGAUGUAAUGGGAUUAUAUGGAAUGUGUUGAGUUGUGGGAGGAGACAUUCCUUUUAUAGGUAAAGGAAUGCUUCUCCCUUACAUGGUUUUCGAUGUGGGACAAGCAACCACCAUUUCUAGUCUAAGAAGCCUAGUUGUGAGGGCAACUUUGCAAGGUCGGAAAUGUGGCUUCCCGGCGACGGAUUUGCGACUUCCGGGUACCGUAGCGUAGCUUGAACAUAGGGCUAUAAGAUGCAAGUAGCGGUUGGGCCUCACUAUGGCUUGUGGGUAUCCCAAAGAGGGUGUUACUUAUGCUUGGUGAGAUAGCAAAUACUCCAUAUUGUUGGAGGUAUGUACAGUUUGCUUGGACUGACCCUUUUCUUACAGAAAGUUAUCUUUCUUUGGAAAUCUAUCUUUCUUAACCCAAGGUUACAUAUGCAUUCCAGGUAGCAUUUGGUAUGGGAAUCAACAAACCUGAUGGUUAGUAUUUGACAUCGUCCACCAUGUGUUUGAGUUUGUCUCUAAGUAUACUUUGCUAGUUUGAGAGUAUGUCAGGACUUGAUACUUUUAACAGUAUAAUUGUCACCAUACUUCCUAUUGGGACACUAAUUGGCUAGAAUAUUCCAAACUACCCUUAUCUUUUGUCCAUUUAUAUACACUCUACAUACUGUAAUAAACUGUCUGAAUACUUUUAUAUAACCUGGAAAGUCCCUCACAGGAUAUUCCUGACAGUUUUGUUUUUAAUUAUCUAAUAUUUUGGCUAUUGCUUGUAGUCAGGUUCGUCAUCCAUCACAGCUUGAGUAAAUCAAUGGAAACAUACUACCAAGUUUUCUACCGUUCCAGCUAAGCUUACAUACUUUUUGAACUUUAUCCGUUUUGUAACCUUCUUUGCUGCAGGAAAGUGGCCGUGCUGGUCGAGAUGGACUCCCUUCUCAAUGCCUACUUUACUUUAGACCUGCUGACAUGCCUAGGCAGAGUUCAAUGGUCUUCUAUGAAAACUCCGGACUGCAGAACCUUUAUGACAUUGUACGCUAUUGUCAGUCAAAAAGACAAUGCCGUCGUAGCUCUUUCUUUCGCCACUUUGCUGAGCCAUUACAGGACUGCAAUCUCAGACUAAUUCUCUCCCUCCAAAAUGGAAAGAAGAGCAACUUCUCCGAUGACUACUAUUCUUGUUUACAUUGCAUUUUUCGUGGUUGCUGCUUAUUGUUCUUCAUCUGUAACAGCUGAAAGAAGCUCCCAAUCUUAGACUAGUUCUCACCCUCCACACUUUCGACAUAAUGUGGUCCGAGGACCAUUUCAAAACCUCUACAGAUGGGCAGAUCUGGUACCUCUCCCUUGACAAUAAUGCAGGGUACAUGAUUCAAAUGAAACAGAUGUAUUGAUUUGGUUGGUUUAGCAUGAAGCUCAAGUUGGUUGGAGGUGACUCUACUGGCGUUGUGACAGCUUACUAUAAAGAGUGAUCCCAGGAAUUGAGCUGGUGCGGUUAGCGUCAUGGUGUUUGCAGUAUGAACCUCAUGAGAGGCCAAAUGCCAAGUCUCUUGUGACUGCCCUUGUUCUUCUUCAAAAGGAAACUUCGUUGAAGCGAAAAGAUAUUAUAUCAGCUUUUGUUUCAUGUAUAGGUAGCUAGGAAUGAUUUCUUGUUUGGUACAUUAUCUAUCUUGAAUGUAUGGAUGUUUGAAAAAUGGUGAUUGAAUGAUAUGGAUUAGAGUACUGUUUAUGUGUUAA